UAGGGAAUCUUCCGCAAUGGGCGAAAGCCUGACGGAGCAACGCCGCGUGAGUGAUGAAGGUCUUCGGAUCGUAAAACUCUGUUAUUAGGGAAGAACAAAUGUGUAAGUAACUAUGCACGUCUUGACGGUACCUAAUCAGAAAGCCACGGCUAACUACGUGCCAGCAGCCGCGGUAAUACGUAGGUGGCAAGCGUUAUCCGGAAUUAUUGGGCGUAAAGCGCGCGUAGGCGGUUUGUUAAGUCUGAUGUGAAAACCCACGGCUCAACCGUGGAGGGUCAUUGGAAACUGGAAAACUUGAGUGCAGAAGAGGAAAGUGGAAUUCCAUGUGUAGCGGUGAAAUGCGCAGAGAUAUGGAGGAACACCAGUGGCGAAGGCGACUUUCUGGUCUGUAACUGACGCUGAUGUGCGAAAGCGUGGGGAUCAAACAGG
rnacentral:rRNA from 1 species